GCAGCCGCCGCGGUAAUACGAAGGGUGCAAGCGUUAAUCGGAAUUACUGGGCGUAAAGCGUGCGUAGGCGGCUUUGUAAGUUAGAGGUGAAAGCCUGGUGCUCAACACCAGAACUGCCUUUAAGACUGCAUCGCUUGAACGUCGGAGAGGUGAGUGGAAUUCCGAGUGUAGAGGUGAAAUUCGUAGAUAUUCGGAAGAACACCAGUGGCGAAGGCGGCUCACUGGACGACUGUUGACGCUGAGGUACGAAAGCGUGGGGAGCAAACAGGAUUAGAUACCCGCGUAGUCCCUGUCUCUUAUAC
rnacentral:rRNA from 1 species